UUAGGCGGUUAUAGCGAGGGGGUUCCACCUCUUACCAUUCCGAACAGAGAAGUUAAGCCCCUCAGCGCUGAUGGUACUAUCCUUACGGAUGGGAGAGUAGGUCGCCGCCAUUU
rnacentral:rRNA from 1 species